UACAGAGGGGGCAAGCGUUGUUCGGAAUUACUGGGCGUAAAGGGCGCGUAGGCGGCCCGCUAAGUCGAACGUGAAAUCCCCGAGCUCAACUCGGGAACUGCGUCCGAUACUGGCGGGCUUGAAUCCGGGAGAGGGAUGCGGAAUUCCAGGUGUAGCGGUGAAAUGCGUAGAUAUUGGGAAGAACACCUGAGGCGAAAGGCGGGUUGCUGGGCCGACACUGACGCUGAGGCGCGAAAAGCCAGGGGAGCGAACGGG
rnacentral:rRNA from 1 species